rnacentral:rRNA from 1 species
AGAGUUUGAUCAUGGCUCAGGAUGAACGCUGGCGGUAUGCUUAACACAUGCAAGUCGAACGAAGUGCUUCGGCACUUAGUGGCGGACGGGUGAGUAACGCGUGAGAAUCUGCCUAGAGGUCGGGGACAACCAUUGGAAACGAUGGCUAAUACCGGAUAUGCCUUACGGGGUGAAAGAUUAAUCGCCUUUAGAAGAGCUCGCGUCUGAUUAGCUAGUUGGUAGGGUAAAGGCCUACCAAGGCUCCGAUCAGUAACUGGUCUGAGAGGAUGACCAGUCACACUGGGACUGAGACACGGCCCAGACUCCUACGGGAGGCAGCAGUGGGGAAUUUUCCGCAAUGGGCGCAAGCCUGACGGAGCAAUACCGCGUGAGGGAGGAAGGCUCUUGGGUCGUAAACCUCUUUUCUCAGGGAAGAACACAAUGACGGUACCUGAGGAAUCAGCAUCGGCUAACUCCGUGCCAGCAGCCGCGGUAAUACGGAGGAUGCAAGCGUUAUCCGGAAUGAUUGGGCGUAAAGCGUCCGCAGGUGGCAGUGUAAGUCUGCUGUCAAAGGUCAGGGCUCAACCCUGAACAGGCAGUGGAAACUACACAGCUAGAGUGCGGUGGGGGCAGAGGGAAUUCCCAGUGUAGCGGUGAAAUGCGUAGAGAUUGGGAAGAACACCGGCGGCGAAAGCGCUCUGCUAGGCCGCAACUGACACUCAUGGACGAAAGCUAGGGGAGCGAAUGGGAUUAGAUACCCCCGUAGUCC